AAACGGUCUUAGGGUUCUUUAUUUCCUAAAUCAUUUCAGUUGCAAUCAUAAAAGAUAAGAGGUGAUCUUGAGCUGGAUUAUGCUUCGUUUCACUUUUUCAGCUGCUGAUGCAUGAUACAUAGUAUAAUUGCCGUGAAAGAAAUGGCAUCAAGUGGAUCAAUUGAGAUCGGGGGAGCUUCUCCAAUAUCGUCCACUGUCUCUCAAGGUGAUAAGGAAUGUCAUCAUGGAAUUAAAGCGGUAAUGUUGACCUCGAGAAGUGAGAAAAACCCAGGGAGAAGAUUCCUCCGAUGCAAAUUUUGGAAGGAUGAUGAUUGCAAAUAUUUUGAAUGGUAUGAUCAUGAAGAAACAAAACACACAAAGGAUGUUAUUAGGUAUUUGACUAAGGAGGAGGAGGCCCAUGUGACAGAGCUAAAGUUGAUGAAAGAAAAUAAUGAGAUUUUGUUUGUUAAGUUAUCGUUACUUGAGGAUAAGGUGGAAGCAUUGAAAUGGAGAAAUGACAACAUGGAGAAAGAGAUCAUGGGAAUGAGAUUGCAACUCCAAGAUGCAACGUCUAAUUGGAACAAGAUUUGCUCCAUAAAAGUUGUAUUUUUGAUCAUGCUAAUGUUUAUGAUUAUAUUAGUUUGGGUUUAUGUUGGCAUGAGAAAUGAAAAAUCAUUGUAUUUGCCGUGACCUAUGCACUUACCAUGAUUUUAAGCAUCUAUAUAUAAUAAACACUCAUGGGUAAAUUGCUAGAAAAUCAUUGUUCUA